rnacentral:rRNA from 1 species
AUUGAACGCUGGCGGCAGGCCUAACACAUGCAAGUCGAGCGGAUGAAGGGAGCUUGCUCCUUGAUUCAGCGGCGGACGGGUGAGUAAUGCCUAGGAAUCUGCCUGGUAGUGGGGGAUAACGUCCGGAAACGGGCGCUAAUACCGCAUACGUCCUGAGGGAGAAAGUGGGGGAUCUUCGGACCUCCCGCUAUCAGAUGAGCCUAGGUCGGAUUAGCUAGUUGGUGGGGUAAAGGCCUACCAAGGCGACGAUCCGUAACUGGUCUGAGAGGAUGAUCAGUCACACUGGAACUGAGACACGGUCCAGACUCCGACGGGAGGCAGCAGUGGGGAAUAUUGGACAAUGGGCGAAAGCCUGAUCCAGCCAUGCCGCGUGUGUGAAGAAGGUCUUCGGAUGGGAAAGCACUUUAAGUUGGGAGGAAGGGCAGUAAGUUAAUACGUUGCUGUUUUGACGUUACCAACAGAAUAAGCAUCGGCUAACUUCGUG